GAGGGCCCCGGCCCGGCCCCACGCACCAUGGGCGGGAGGCGCCGCUCACGCUCGCUCGAAGGCAGCUCCACGCUCAAAAUGGGGCCUACAUCUGACAGGCAGGAAUUUAGUUAAAAGCUUUUAAACGGGAAACGUCAUUUUGAUGUCACGUUUCCAUAGCAACAGAGCAACUGCAUAAGCUACAACAACAGAAACCUUUUAACUGAAAGCACGGGAAUCAGGGCCGCACUGACGGGCCAUCAAUAUUGCAGCGAGCGGGCCAGGCCCAAACCCAGCGGCCCGGCUCCCGGCCCUGCCUCUCACCGCCGCCCAGGCAGAUCGGCCCCCAGUUCAGUGCCGCCCCGGCUCACGCAGGCCAAGAGGGGGCCUCGGGUGGGAACAGGCAAGGAGAAAGGGGGCAAAAGCCCCCAGGAGCCCUGGGCCUUAGGUCUGUGGACACUGGAAGCCCGGGUUGGUCAGAGCCAGGCCCUGCCCAGAGGUGCAGACACAGGGUACACAGACACGGGCCUCUGGCACCGGCCGGUGAGGACAGCAGUGAUGGCAAAGGUUGGUAAGACAUCUGCAUCCCAAGAUGACUACACCACCAAUCACCAAGGCUUCCGAGAGGCUCGUCCGGAGCUUAGAAGCAUCCCCGCUGGGCUGAGCAGAGGCUUCUUGGAGUAGGCGCUGGUUCAGACAGGACAAACAAGCUAGAAUAGACGGGGCAGGCCCUGCGGACACACAGCAGCCCCGGCCACACCAGAGGUGGGAUGUGCCAGCUGCUUUGGGGGUUACCUGGGAGCAGCUGGGCCAGGGACGCAGGUGUCAAUGGCCAAGGAGGUGGAAGGGUGGUGGGCCCUGUGAAAACACAGCUCUAGUCUCUGUGCUGGGCCUGAUGACCUGCUUCAGUGCCAUAGGCCAAGUCCUGAGGCUUGUGUAUGUCAUAUAAGCUUAUGAUGUCACUUGACCAUGAAGGCUCCAGCAGCUCCCACAGCUCCCAUCUGCAGGGCAGGAAGACCACCUGUACUGUGGUUUGGGAAGGCCCUUGCAGAAGCACCCAGCCAGGCCCAUGCCCUGGGGCCACUUCCUCAUCCCUGGCUACAGAAAACACGGGGCCUGUCCCUGCUGGCAGCUGCCUGGGGGACCCUCCAUAAUGCCAGAUGUUAGCUGGUGGGACAGUUUCUGCCCCUGCUGGAGAAGCACUUAGGAGACUGCUUCCUAAGACUCCCGCUCAGCAAGGUCUAGGUUCUCAUGAAGCAAAGCAAGCCUCACACAGCAACAACUGAUGGUUUCCAUUUUUUUUCCUUUAAUUUGGAUGUACAAUGUUUGCAGCAGUUAAAAAAAAUUAAAUAUACAUCUCUCGUCAGUCCUUCCCUUUGCUCUCAGAAGCAGUCAGGUCUGGGUGGGGCUCCAGGACUCGCCCAUCACAGCCCUGCUGGCUCCAGGGGAGCUCAAGCUCAGCUGACAGUCCCUCUGACCACGGCGCAAAGCAGUGAGACCUGGACAAGGAGGCCCCACUUGGGUCAGAGCCCACCCUCCGUAGGCAGGUCCACGUUGGCCACGAUCCUCCAAGGCUGGCAGUUACCACCCAGAUUGCAGCGGGAGACUCCGCUCUUAGAAACAACUGAGGGGAAGGCGUUCCUUUGACUGCACCAGAGCGUGACAGGCACAUGGGGGAAGAGCGGCCCCUGAACCUUCCAGGUUGCCUUCAGUUGUCAUGCGGCACUCUGAGCGGCUCCCUCCUUCCCAGGAGGCCCAGGCCCGGCAAGCGAGUGUCCUCUUCUCGUCUGAGCCAUCCUGAGCUCUCCAAGGUCCCUCAGCAGCUCUCAAGAUCUUCCUUCUUCUCACUCCCACACGUGGCCCCUCUGGAGGACAGCUCCAAGUCUACCCUGGCCAGCAGCUGUGGUCCCGGGUCCUCCCCGCAGAGGGAGGAAGCGGGGGAGGGACAAAGCCCGAUGAGGAUGUCUGCUGGGAAUGAGGCUCACAGGUAGCAAGAGAAGCCUGACUCCACCCACCAGACACACAGAACUAACCUCACUCCACCCCGCAGUGGGAGCAAGUUCCACCUGCCAGGCGGCUACAAACCGAGUUAUUGCUGUUUACUAUCCGUCCCGAGCUCCACGUGGGGCUCAUCUCAGCUCCAAGAGGAGGAGCUGUUCAUUGGCUCCGAGGGCUCUGAAAUGACCCCCUCCAUGAAGAUGGGGGCGAGGGGUGUCCUUUAGGGCACAGGGCCUUCUCAGAUGCUACAUUCUGGGUGUCUGGAGGGGGUUCAGCUUCACAUUUUCCCCUUGAAAGGACACAUGCGCUGGCAGAAAUGAGGGUGGACAGUAACAAAGAGCACUUGGCAGCUGGAAACAUCACCUACAUAGACUCAGCUGGGCCCGCAGCGGAAGGGAGGCACAUUUUGGGAAAGAAACACGCUUCAGUGCAUUGCCAAACAAUUCUACCCUGGUUUCAUUAAAAUCUUUCCUGAUAUUACCAGCAGGAAAACAAAAGCAAUCUCCCCACAGCCCACCCCCAAAACUUGACAACCAAAUUAAUCACAUUUUCAACAAAAUUUGGAUAAUACGAUGGGUGCUUGCCACAGAUUUUUAGGAACAUGAUAAAGUCUUCCUCCCUUCUGCAGAGAGCUGAUAUGGAGACCAUCUUCUCCAGUGGGAUCCUAGUGGGCAAUGAAUGAGCCCUGCCCUGACCAUGUCCCACACCUGGAUGUCCGUCACGCGGCUAACUUGACCUGGCAGGUCUAAGGAAAGUCAACUUCCAGGAAGAACCGACACGGGCACUCUUAGAGGCCAUGCAUCUCCAUCUUGAGAGGUGUGUGUAUAAAAUUAUAGAUGUGUCUAUAUGCACAUGCAUGGAUACUUU